rnacentral:rRNA from 1 species
GAUUAUGACGUACUUGUACUGAUUGAGAUUUUAACACGAAGUGAGUGGCGAACGGGUGAGUAACACGUGGGUAACCUGCCCAGAAGUAGGGGAUAACACCUGGAAACAGAUGCUAAUACCGUAUAACAGAGAAAACCGCAUGGUUUUCUUUUAAAAGAUGGCUCUGCUAUCACUUCUGGAUGGACCCGCGGCGUAUUAGCUAGUUGGUGAGGUAAAGGCUCACCAAGGCAGUGAUACGUAGCCGACCUGAGAGGGUAAUCGGCCACAUUGGGACUGAGACACGGCCCAGACUCCUACGGGAGGCAGCAGUAGGGAAUCUUCCACAAUGGACGCAAGUCUGAUGGAGCAACGCCGCGUGAGUGAAGAAGGGUUUCGGCUCGUAAAGCUCUGUUGUUAAAGAAGAACGUGGGUAAGAGUAACUGUUUACCCAGUGACGGUAUUUAACCAGAAAGCCACGGCUAACUACGUGCCAGCAGCCGCGGUAAUACGUAGGUGGCAAGCGUUAUCCGGAUUUAUUGGGCGUAAAGCGAGCGCAGGCGGUCUUUUAAGUCUAAUGUGAAAGCCUUCGGCUCAACCGAAGAAGUGCAUUGGAAACUGGGAGACUUGAGUGCAGAAGAGGACAGUGGAACUCCAUGUGGU